ensembl:lncRNA
CCGUUACCCGGCUCUGCCGGGCGGACGAGGAGCCGCUCUGGUCGAGCCGGUCCCCCGGCGUUCUACGCGCUGCGUCCCCGCCCAGCUCCCCCGCGAAGGCCUGGGGCGACCGGCCGAGCCUUCCCGGGCGGCUCCGCCGCGUGCGCGGGGCGCCCCGAAUCUCGGGGUGGACCUGACCCGCUGUCUUCCCGGAGCCUUGGGGUGGGGCUGGGGCCUGGCCGACUGGGCUCAGUGAGGACAGAGGGCUGCAGAGUCAGGCAGGUGGGCCCUCGGGGUCUUCAUCGAGUGUGUGUGUGUGUGUGUGCGCGCGCGCGCGCGCGGCACUUAGUCGAGUCCAACUCUGCGACCCCAUGACUGUAGCCCACCGGGCUGUGGGCUCCUCUGUCCCUGGAAUUUUCCAGGCAAGAAUACUGGAGUGGGUUCUACUCCCUUCUCCAGGGGAUCUUCCUGAUUCAGGGAUCCAACCCGGGUCUCCUGCAUUGCAGGCAGAGUCUCUGCCGUCACCAGGAAAGCCAUUGGACCUAUACGUUUGAAAGUCGCUCAGUCGUGCCCGACUCUUUGCGACCCAGAGUCGGUAUAGUCCGUGGGAUUCUACAGGCCAGGAUACUGGGGUCAACAGCCAGUUACAAACUACGAUGGAAGAAGCGCAACAGCAAAGAGCCGUCAAUCACAGGCCCCACAGGACGAGCGCACUGCUUCUCCCAGAGGAAGUCACCUCAGCGACUUAGCCCACGAGAAACCAUCCUCACCCUGAACUCGCAGUCUUUCCCAGGGAGAUUUCAUUAAAAACAAAAAAAAACCCCAAACCUCUCACCUUCCUCACUUUUCUCUAUAAAGUAACCAUUCCUCUCCUUUUUGUUGGACUUACCUAUGGCUUUUGCUAUAGCCUGCGUGUCCCAAAUCGCAGUUCCUGUGAUGUUCCAAAGUCCACUUUUGCUGGUAAAAUAACUGAGUGCUUAUUUCUGAGGUCAGCAGACUCCAUCGUCCUCAGGAUGCAGCAAAGAGCACUGCAUUGCUGUGAGCUUGUUUCCCCUCAACACACGGGGCAAAGGAGGCCUGGGCUGCAGAGGGUUGCUCGAUCUGGGGCCCCGCCCAGUGGUCUCUGCAGCCCCUCCCUUGGGCUUUCCAGGUCCCAAUGCCCACUCCCCCCAUGGGGGAACCCACUGCUUCCUGCCAUCCCAGCUAUGACCUUCCUGGGCCUCAGGAGGGCUCCCCAGCAC